AAUAAACAUUUGAUUAGCUCCUUGUACAUAUGUGGAGGAGAAGGGGCGGGGGAGGACCAAAAAGAAAGGAAUCUGACCUCUGGGCAGUCACUUUCUCAAUCCUCUACUCUGGCUGGUGUUCAAGUACAUAGAGGCUGGACACAGCACACCUGCCUGCCCAGCUUUCUCCUACACUAAAAUCCAGCCAGCACCAGAUAUGGAACAAGAAACAGAGGGCACGGUGAUGUUACUGUGGCACAUUUCCUCGGACCACACAGUUUCCAAAGAACUGUACCUGAAGGUGACUUGCUUGGAUUCCAAUAAUCUUUGGAUCUUUAUGAUUGUAGUUACAGGACUUCAAGAAAGAAAAGAAAAAGGCCAGACCAAGGCCUUUGGCUCAAGAGUACAGCAAAAGACAUCAGCCAGAGCUUAGAGUGAAGAGCGCGGGCCGCAAAGAGCCUUGAUAGUAGCCCCGAUUGACCUGGAACUUUCAGCAAUCCUCCUGCUUCACAUUCCCGUAGGCUGAGAUUACAGGCACACUUCUCUAUGUAAUGGCAUGUCACCUUAACUGGAGUUAGAUGAUAAAAGUGAGUAAAGCCACCAUGAAAUAUGGGUGCUCUGCUCUGGACACACUCUGCUCAAUCUUUCCUCCACCCCCUGCUGCUCCCUCUUCUAGAAUUAAUUGUCUACUUGUCCUUUCAAAGGAUGAUACUUGCUCCACAUAAAGCCUGCUGAGUGUCAUAGUCAAUCUGGGGACACUGGGCUGAAGUAUCUCCUCCAGCCAAUCUGCCUGUCCAUCCAUCUUCCUGUCCAUCCAUCUUCCUACCCACCCACCCAUCCACUUAUCAUCCAAUGGAGAGUGGUUGAAGAGUGCAUCCACUAUUUACUGGGGAUCUUUCCCUAUGGGGAUGUCUGGCUGUGGUAUAUGUGCUUCCAGAAAUAAAAUGGAGAGAGAAACAUUCUACCAAUAUGCCUGUCUAAGAAGAGCAGAGUGCUUCUCUUCAGAGAGUGACCUUCCACAAACAAGUAGGGGUAGACUCUGACAGACUCAUUUCUUUCCUGAGUCCUGUCCAGAGGUUUCAUCUGCUAGUUAAAGGAAUUCUAAGUAUGAUCAAAUAAGCCGGUCCAAAUAAGGCAUUUGGACGAUAGGAGACAGUGGUUUGGGAGUGGGAGACAACUUGAGCACAUGUAUCACAGAGAUAAUCCAUUCUAAUGCCAUACAAAUCCUUUAGUCCAAACAGAGGGGAGGAGGAGAGUCACUGCUCUCACUUAGGGAAUCCCAAACUCUACAGUGCCUGGAAAGUCAUGAGGGAGUGGCAGCGGCUGCCACUGCUGAGUUAGCCCCAGCCUAGCUGAAGACACUGCUGGGUUUCUAGAAGAGAUUGGGGCCGUUUCACUGGAGCUCAGCCUUGGGGAGCCUAAGCUCUGAGAUGAGUUAGUGCUGAAAUGAACAGUGGAAAGCAAAGAUCCUAUUUAAACAACAAUAAAAUUUUCUAUGGAAUCUACUGUCAUCAAGUGCAAUGCUUUUCCCCAGCUUGGGCAAACCUCUGACAGUCUGUACCUUAGACCUCUGUGUAAAUUGCUUUGUAGCAUUUUAUGCUCUGUUGAUUUAGGCUCCUUAACAGUAGAGUCCAGUAAGGGAGCUUUGUGUAGGAGAAAGGAUGGUGGGGAGGGAGCCUGUAUUCUAGCACUAGUUCUACAAUGAACAACCAGCUUGUAGCUUGGAAAAACAGGAGACUUCUGUGCUAAUGCUAUCGUGACUAUAAACCCAGCAGACUAAAUAAGUUAUAUCCCUAUCUAAAGCUCUAGGAUUUAUAACACAUCAAUCACAUGAAACAUGCCAUGAAGAGGAAGAAAAUCGUGACAGCAGCUCACAGCAGGAUCCACCCACUUCUCAAGGACUGUUCCUGAAGACUUCCUUGGAAAUGACAUGUUGCUUCCCCCAAACUCAGGAGACUUUAUUUGCAUAAUUCUCUUGCUAGUGUUCUCCACUCUUCACCUUGUGUCCUCAUUGUUGACACACAUGUCUGGCCUUCCUUAUGAACUCUAAGCUCCUUCAAAACAUGGUCCAUCUUUUGAUCUCUUGCCAUGUCUAGCCGUAGUUUCAUAAAUACUUGUUGAAUGAAUCAAUGGUUCUGCGAAGAGCGCCUGAUUAGCUCUUCUUUCAAAUAAUUAUUCUUUCUACUUCAAAGAUAAAAUUGAGAUCCAAACACUCCGACUUAUUUAUCUCAGUUUACAAAAUUGAAGUCUCAGUUCUAAAGUCCUUGGAGUGAUGAACUGUUCUUUUAGGAAACCUUCAUGGACAUCCAUUCUGAUGCCUACUUCAUUAAUAUCCAAAGCCUGAGCAAUAGUAAUAACAAUAACAACAAUAAUGAUAAUAUUAACUAUACCAAGAACAAUAAUAACUGAGCUUUUGACUAGGUCACCUUUCCAGCUCAGAACAUGGUCUUUGGGAGAAUAUUUCAGAUAUAAACUGAAUAAAACCAGAAACAUUCUUUUUUAUAUUAUUUCCCCACAAUUUUAUUAUUUUAAAAAAUGCAGUCACUCUUUCUGUAACAAUAGUGACCUCUAUGUGUAAUAUCUUGUUAUUCAUUCACUUGCCAAACAUUCGACAUCAUAAUUCAGGUAUAAUGCAACAUAUUAAAGAUAUAAAGAUGAGAAUAAUAUAGCUCCUUCAAAAGCUGACAGUGCAGGAGAGAAAAUAAAAUUAUGAAAACAGCACUUGGAUAUAGCAUGGGUCUCUGAACAUAGACAGACUCUCACUUUUCAGGGCACAAGCUGUACCUGACUGUUAACUAUGACCCUGAGUCAUCUAAUUUAUCUUACUGGAAACUACUGAUGUUUAAGACCAAAUGUUAAAAAUAUAAAGACAUGUGCCAUGAGGAAUUCCGACAAGGACUCUUCUUCUGUGACAUAGCCAUCUGGCUCAAGCCAGAGAAAUUCAAACAGAGGAGAGACAGUCUGUCUACAUUCCUGGUUUUUUUUUUUUUUUUGAGCAUGUUGAGCUUCCAUGGUGGCUAGUGCCACCAAGACCUAUCUCUGUAUGAGAUGCAUGCCCCAUUCAACCAGACCCCAUUCGUCCCAUCCUCCAGCACAAAUAUUUUUGGCUCACAUUUCCAAUGAUGGCAAUUGCAAGUGUUCGGAAAGCUGCCAUCUAAUAAGCCCAACUUACUACCUGUUGAAGGAGGUUUUUACGUUUUGUUCCCUAACACCCCCUUUUUUGAUGGUUAAAGUCCAAAGAAUACUUCUCAGAAUAAUUCUAAACUAAUAAAAUAUAGGAUAUUUAAAGAUAUACCCAUAUAUGUACACAAUAAUAAUCAUAAAUAAAAGCAUCUGAAUAAGGUUAGCACUAAAGAAUACGAUGGUUUGAGGUGAAGGAGAAUGUCAGUUAUGCUUUAGGAGAUAUGUAUAAGCAUAACAUCAAAAUAGCUUUUGAUUCUCCACAACUGUGUCCACACUACUAUUAUCUGAUGCAUGUGUUGCUAGGGUAGGAUAUUUCAACUACCGACCAUAGAAUACAAGAUGCAAUUCUUACCCCAUUUGAGCCCAUUCUGUUCACAGUAUCCCCUGAAUUUUCAUAAGAC